CGAAACUAGCCGGUGUAAACCGGAGGAAGGUGGGGGAGUGACGUCAAAUCAGCACGGCCCUUAUGUCCAGGGCUACACACGUGUUACAAUGGUAGAUACAAUGGGCAGCCACCUGGUGACAGGGAGCUAAUCCUAAAAGUCUAUCUCAGUUCGGAUCGAAGUCUGCAACCCGACUUCGUGAAGCUGGAUUCGCUAGUAAUCGGAUAUCAGCCAUGAUCCGGUGAAUACGUUCCCGGGCCUU
rnacentral:rRNA from 1 species